UACGUAGGCAGCGAGCGUUGUUCGGAAUUACUGGGCGUAAAGAGUGUGUAGGCGGUGCUCCCAGUCUGUUGUGAAAUCUCCCGGCUUAACUGGGAGGGUGCAGCGGAAACUAGAGUGCUAGAGGGUGGGAGAGGUAAGCGGAAUUCCUGGUGUAGCGGUGAAAUGCGUAGAUAUCGGGAGGAACACCUGUGGCGAAAGCGGCUCACUGGACCACAACUGACGCUGAUGCACGAAAGCUAGGGGAGCAAACAGG
rnacentral:rRNA from 1 species